UUGAUUACGUCCCUGCCCUUUGUACACACCGCCCGUCGCUACUACCGAUUGGAUGACUUAGUGAGGUCUUAGGACCGGAGUGACGGAGCUUUAUUCUUUCGCUUUGGAAAUUUGAUCGAACUACGUUAUCUAGAGGAAGUAAAAGUCGUAACAAGGUUUCCGUAGGUGAACCUGCGGAAGGAUCAUUAACGAGCUAAUAUAAAAAGCGAAUGAUCAUAGAGAUUCGACGCAGGAUCGUCUGUUGUUGUUUCUCUCUAGAUUGUACGUAUAUCCACCCCAGUUGGUUAAACGCGGUAGGCGCUAUUAGCGCAAAGUCCGUCUCUGGUGGUUGGAAAAAUAGAAAUAAGGGAAAUCUUUAUGAGAGAUCCUCGUUAUAAAUCGAACUGAAAGAUCGCCAUUUCUUAGUUUCGCUCUCUGUCAUAGACGCGGGUGCGUUGGUUGUAGUGCGCUCAGAAUGCCUACCCACCACUCGUGAUAUGCGUUGCGAUAAGAGAGUGGCGCGGUAGCGAGUGCCUUUGAAGCUAAGAAACAAAAGGGCGAUUCGAUCACGUCGGUUUUAUAUGAGAUUCUCAAGGAGAGAAUACCUUAUAGACUGUUAUAUCAGACGUUUGGAACGAAGUAUUAUUUCGAGUGAGUAGUGGUGAAAUGCACGUUAUAAUGUGCCCACUCAGGCUCGUAUAUGCUGAGUUCUCCUUUGGGUACCUAUCGAGGCUAUCGCUACAGUUUCGUCUGGCUGUAGGACAGGCGCGUUAGUCCUCGGAACCCUAUAUGCGGAUCGUUCGAUUCUAGUUUUUACUAGUCGACGUAUGCAGUAGGUGAGGUUUAAAGAGUCGUUGACCUUCACAAGGAAGCUUGGUGGUUUAAGAAACCAAAGGGAAAAUAAUUCCGAGUGAGGUGGCUACGUCAGAACCUAGUAAAGGGAAGAGACCAGCGUUAUAAUGGUAAUGAAAAGUGAACGUCCUAUUUUCAUAGCCAUUAUGGAAUAUAAUCGCUGAACACUCUUAGGGAACUGACUAGUUCGGGACGCUGAAGGUAAAGCUUAUAGUAGGCGUCCGGGCGACCGCCCGAAAUCAAACCAAUACUUUAUACGAAAUAUAAAUCGAAGCUCUAAUGAAUGUAAUAGAGCGGAGAAAAUAAAAACGAAUCCUAGAGAUUCCAUUCUAAGCGGUGGAUCACUAGGCUCGCGGGUCGAUGAAGAACGGGGCCAGCCCCGAGAAUAAGUGCGAAUUGCAGACACAAAGAGCAUCGACUUUUCGAACGCAUAUUGCGGUAUCGGGCCUGCUCGAUACCACGCCUAUCUGAGGGUCGAAUAAGAACGUAUGGAAUCGUUUGUUUCCCACCUCUGCUGUUCUAAGUAAAAGGUAUAGAACUAUACGAGGGGAAACGAUGGAAAUGACUUGAGACUUGUGACAGUCGUUAAGUCUGAAGGUAAUAGAGAGAGAAAGUGAACUCUCUAUUUACCAGUAGAAAAGAAUUUAUAGACUCAGUCGCUAUAAAUCGCUUGAGAGAAAACUGAGCGAUUGAAAGAAAGAGUUAUAGCGAUUUGAGUUUAUAUAUAAUUCAAAAUCUAAAUCAGACCCGACGCUCGUUGUAGCUGCGAAUCAGCCAUUCGUCUUUCAAAGGUUUCUUUGGAGAUGGGAAUAUAGAGAAAUGGUACUGAUCGCAAUUGACGCUACGGAAUAUAUAUAAGAGUGUCUAUAGGGUCUUUCAUAUUCUGACCUCAGAUUAGACGUGACAACCCGCUGAAUUUAAGCAUAUAACUAGGCGGAGGAAAAGAAAUUAACGAAGAUUUCCUUAGUAACGGCGAGUGAA
rnacentral:misc_RNA from 1 species